CGGCGGCCCGCGGGCUCGGCCGUGUCCCCGGGGCAGGCCAGCCCCAGCCGGAGGCCCGGCCCCCGCUGGCAGGCCGCGCCCCACUGUCCGCGCUGGACGGUAACCUGAGGACCUAGUUCCGCAUCUUAAGUUAAAAAGCAAGAAAAAAGAGUUAAGAAAGAGUCACUUUUUUAAAGCGCCCGUGCUGCAGCGAGCUGUGGGCAGCCCAGCAGGAGUAGAUCCCGGGGGGCGGAUGCCCGCAGUGCGCGUGUUGCCACCAGGCGGCUUCAGCCUGCAGGAUUUCUCGGGGUCCGGGGCAGCCCGGGCCGCGCGCGGCGAGCGGCUCUGAGGGUCGAGCACCGCCGCGUCCCCCGCCCCUGCAGACGGAGCGGCGGGCGUGCGCCUGCGCUGUGACGUCGGGGCGGCAGCCGCGGUUGACGACAGACGCGGGGCGGCGACGCAGGGCUGGAGGAGGCGGCAGAACUGAACGGCGUCCUCCCCGCGGCCUGGGGUCUUGGCGCUUGGCACGACCUGCGGCCGACCUGAGAGCCGCCGAGGGCCGCUGUGUGCGCGCAGGAGCCGCCCCCGCCCGGCGGGCGGUGCCCUGGGGGGCUCGAGAGCUGCGGCCCGGGCUCCAGCGCCGAAGACCCUGGAUUCGAGGCUCAAGAGCCAGAGCAACA
rnacentral:lncRNA from 1 species